UUAGCUAGUAAGAUCCCUGAAAGAUGAUCAGGUUGAUAGGUCAGAGGUGGAAGCGCGGUGACGUGUGGAGCUGACUGAUACUAAUCGAUCGAGGACUUAACCUA
rnacentral:rRNA from 1 species